rnacentral:rRNA from 1 species
AUACGUAGGGUGCAAGCGUUAAUCGGAAUUACUGGGCGUAAAGCGUGCGCAGGCGGUUUUGUAAGACAGAGGUGAAAUCCCCGGGCUCAACCUGGGAACUGCCUUUGUGACUGCAAGGCUAGAGUACGGCAGAGGGGGAUGGAAUUCCGCGUGUAGCAGUGAAAUGCGUAGAUAUGCGGAGGAACACCGAUGGCGAAGGCAAUCCCCUGGGCCUGUACUGACGCUCAUGCACGAAAGCGUGGGGAGCAAACAGGAUUAGAUACCCUGGUAGUCCACGCCCUAAACGAUGUCAACUGGUUGUUGGGUCUUCAUUGACUCAGUAACGAAGCUAACGCGUGAAGUUGACCGCCUGGGGAGUAC